rnacentral:lncRNA from 1 species
AUAACGAAUGGUUAUUGGUGUUAUCGGGCUAAUUUCUUACAAUCAGGGAAAACUAGAUAAUUUGAGCAUCUUUCGGUUUGUAGUUGUACACGUUGAAUCCAAAGUUGUGUGGUUGUUUCGUUAGUUCUACUGUGAUGUUAGGUGGAUGGAUCUUGUACUGAGUUAUUUUGUUUGGUAGUGAUUAGGACGAGUAGGGUUUACUGACUGGUGCCUUAAUUUCUUUGUGGUGGAUUAAGUGAUAAUAUGAGAAAUUUUCUGCGCGUUACUAUGCUGCAAAGCUGAUUAUUGACUGUCUGCAAACUGAGUUAAGAUUGCUUGGAGCUUUUAGAAUUUAUUUAAUAGCAUGACC